CAGCUUAGGUGGAAGGCUGAGAAAGGCAAUUCCGGUUGUCUGGAGCCAUCAGUGAGAUACCACUCUGGGAGAGCUAGGAGUCUAAUGGCGUUCCUUGAAUCAGGACGCUUGACAGUUUCAGGUGGGCAGUUUUACUGGGGCGGUAGCCUCCUAAAAGGUAACGGAGGCGUGCAAAGGUUCCCUCAGGCUGGACGGAAAUCAGCCAUAGAGUGUAAAGGCAGAAGGGAGCUUGACUGCAAGACCUACAAGUCGAGCAGGGACGAAAGUCGGCCUUAGUGAUCCGACGGUGCCGUGUGGAAGGGCCGUCGCUCAACGGAUAAAAGUUACUCUAGGGAUAAC
rnacentral:rRNA from 1 species